rnacentral:rRNA from 1 species
UACGGGGGGGCAAGCGUUGUCCGGAAUCAUUGGGUGUAAAGGGCGCGUAGGCGGGAUGGUAAGUCAGAGGUGAAAAUUCCAUGCUUAACGUGGAACCUGCCUUUGAUACUGCUGUCCUUGAGUGCGGAAGAGGGAAGUGGAAUUCCCGGUGUAGCGGUGAAAUGCGUAGAUAUCGGGAAGAACACCGGUAGCGAAGGCGGCUUCCUGGUCCGUAACUGACGCUGAGGCGCGAAAGAGUGGGGAGCAAACAGG